CUUUGAAUGAAAAUGAACGUUUUUCACCUACAGCUAGUUCUAUGCGUUAUAAAUUUAACAACACGAUAUGUAAACGGUAUAAACAUUCGUCGUCAAAAAUUAAACAUGCGCUGCACGCGGCGCUUCUCACCGGGCGUGUGCGCUGAAGCUGUUGUGCCUGUUUGGACUUUUGAUUUCUUCUCGUUAAAUUGCACGUGUAUGGAUGAUUUUUAGGAAGUAUCUCCAGAACGGAUGCAUGAAUCUCGUUGAAAUUUGGCAUAGAUAUAGAACAUAAUCUGGAAGAACACAUAGGCUACUAAUUGAGUUUUACAGUUUAAAUCCACACGGACUUAUUAGCGGGCGAUAGCUACAUAAAAAUAAUUCUCCCUCCAUCCAGUGAACGUCUUGGCUGCUAUCUAUCGACUAGAUCCAACCGGUUUCCGACUUAUAUGCUCUGUUUACGAUCUUGUCGUGCGUUCAUCGAUCUAUACACGCAGACGCUGUCCGAAGAUGACGGACAGUUGAAGAGAUUACGCUCAGAAACUCGUGAAUCGAUCCGUCGAGGUGAUGGUUUUCUCCAGUCAUUCUACAAGACAGAAGAUACUGAGGAGGAGGAGCAAUCAGAAAUGUGGGAGGGUCCCGCUACGGAGGGGGCGGAGCUAGACGUAGCGGUGAGUGAGCUGCUGGUGCCCGACAUUGACUACGCGGGGGUACAAGUUAACAACGAAGAUUGUGAUCUUGUACAUCAUUUGCAUACGUCUAAAUAUAAUAAAUUAAAUUAAUAA